CCUACGGGAGGCAGCAGUGGGGAAUAUUGCACAAUGGGGGAAACCCUGAUGCAGCGACGCCGCGUGAGUGAAGAAGUAUUUCGGUAUGUAAAGCUCUAUCAGCAGGGAAGAAAAUGACGGUACCUGACUAAGAAGCCCCGGCUAACUACGUGCCAGCAGCCGCGGUAAUACGUAGGGGGCAAGCGUUAUCCGGAUUUACUGGGUGUAAAGGGAGCGUAGACGGCAGCACAAGUCUGAAGUGAAAGGCCGGGGCUUAACCCCGGAACUGCUUUGGAAACUGUGCAGCUAGAGUGCAGGAGAGGUAAGUGGAAUUCCUAGUGUAGCGGUGAAAUGCGUAGAUAUUAGGAGGAACACCAGUGGCGAAGGCGGCUUACUGGACAGUAACUGACGUUGAGGCUCGAAAGCGUGGGGAGCAAACAGGAUUAGAUACCCCAGUAGUC
rnacentral:rRNA from 1 species